GACGAACGCUGGCGGCGUACCUAAUACAUGCAAGUCGAGCGGACCUCUUCGGAGGUCAGCGGCGGACGGGUGAGUAACACGUGGGCAACCUGCCUGUAAGACUGGGAUAACUCCGGGAAACCGGAGCUAAUACCGGAUACUAUGUCAAACCGCAUGGUUUGACAUUCAAAGACGGUUUCGGCUGUCACUUACAGAUGGGCCCGCGGCGCAUUAGCUAGUUGGUGAGGUAACGGCUCACCAAGGCGACGAUGCGUAGCCGACCUGAGAGGGUGAUCGGCCACACUGGGACUGAGACACGGCCCAGACUCCUACGGGAGGCAGCAGUAGGGAAUCUUCCGCAAUGGACGAAAGUCUGACGGAGCAACGCCGCGUGAGUGAUGAAGGUUUUCGGAUCGUAAAACUCUGUUGUCAGGGAAGAACAAGUGCCGGAGUAACUGCCGGCGCCUUGACGGUACCUGACCAGAAAGCCACGGCUAACUACGUGCCAGCAGCCGCCGUAA
rnacentral:rRNA from 1 species